AAGUCGUAACAAGGUUUCCGUAGGUGAACCUGCGGAAGGAUCAUUAACAAAAUCUAAUUUUACCUUUGUGAAUUGAGUAGCCAAUUUUGGCUGCUUCUGUCUACUUUAAGUCUAAAUUCAUACAAAUUAUAUAAUAAUUUUUAACAAUGGAUCUCUAGGCUCUU
rnacentral:misc_RNA from 1 species